rnacentral:tRNA from 1 species
GCCACCGUAGCUCAGUUGGUAGAGCAACUGAUUCGUAAUUAGUAGGUCAGCGGUUCGACUCCGCUCGGUGGCU